rnacentral:lncRNA from 1 species
CCAGGCUAGGGGUUGAAUCGGAGCUGUAGCCACCGGCCUACGCCAGAGCCACAGCAACGCGGGAUCCGAGCCGCGUCUGCAACCUACACCACAGCUCACGGCCACGCCGGAUCGUUAACCCACUGAGCAAGGGCAGGGACUGAACCCGCAACCUCAUGGUUUGUAGUCGGAUUCAUUAACCACUGCGCCACGAUGGGAACUCCCCCCUCCCCAAUAUUUUGACAUAACAAUGUGCACAUAUUUAGCUCAGGAAAUCAUGAGUAAAACUUGGUUGCAGGCCACAUUGCUUGUGUGCGUGUGUGUGUGUGUGUGUGUGUGUGUGUGUGUGUGUGUUGGUGGGUAUGGCCAUGCACACACAAAUAACUCCUGAAAGGGGAUUCUUAGUACAGGGACACCCUCCCUUCUCAGGUCUUCCAUUCGAGGUAACUAAUGGGAAUGCUGAAAUUCCAGCUUUAUUUUUGGCGCACCAUAGCCUCAAAUUAAGACAACUUGUAUGUGGUCUUAUAUUUAGAAUUUUGAAUGAUGCCAGUUCGGUGGCUUGCUCUGAUGAGUCACGGGCACAGUUUGUCAUGGGAAUCACAAGUGAGGGGGGUCUUAGUACAGCGUGGUGAGCGCUGUGGUGGAGUUUGUUACCGGGUGUCGUGGGAGCACGGAGACGAGCCCCUCCUCACCUUGGGGACUGGAAAGUUGUGAAAUGCUUUCAAGAGUAUGUGACCCUUGAGGUGGGUCUUGAAGGAGGAGUUUGCCAGGUGGAAGGGAGAAAAGACGUGGAAUAGGACCUUUCAGAUGGCGGCACAGAUGGGGCCCCCAGAAGUCAGCAAGAGCACGGCGCACCCAGAGGGCUUGCGAGGAGGACUGUCGUGGCCACUGCAUUUGGAGGCGUAGGCUGGGCUGGGGGCUGACCGGUGGGCAGGGUCAGACCCUGCAGUGGAACCCCCCUGAAGGACUUGAGGAUCCUGGAUCAGGUUUGAUUUUACAGUAGGGAUUCUUUCUCAGGCUUCCCCUGAAUGGCAGUGAUCCGGUUUAGCCACGCAAGACCUUUUUAUCAGUUCCUGCGGGUGUGGGGCUCAACAUCCCAUGUUUAAGGUAUGGCUACAGGCUAUCCACUGAUAAUCCCAAGGGCAUCAUCAUAAGUUGCUGAAAUGUUUCUGGUGUUGAAUUACAGUCCGCCCUCUGUAUGCUUGGGUUCUCUGUCCGUAGACUCAGCCAACCACAGAUUGAAAAUAUUUGAAUAAAAGAUUCCAGGAAAAAGAAAUUGCUGUAAGGAAACAUCUGGGUAUGAGUUGAUUCUGGCUAAACCAGCCCAAUGAAAUUCUGGCAGCAGGCAGGCCAGGGCGAUUAGACUUCACCUGGGGAAGAGUGGAGACUGAGGAACCGGAUUAGUUAUCUUGGGUGAUCAGAUAUGGAGGAGGGGGAGUUAGUGCUCAGAUGACCGAGCAGGAUUCUUGCUAAAACUAAAUCAAGAUGGAAGUCUACAAGUCAAGGGCUAAUUGAAAAGGGGUUCAGAGGAGCCCGAUUAGAGUUUGGUCAAGGAGGGAAUCGUUGUCACAUGGCUUAUGAAAGAAAACGGCUUCUUUGAUCUUUGGUCUCUUGGUCUCAGCCAAGUCUCACUAUCAAAGUGCCACCCACCACCGCCCUUCAGACUUUGUGCAUGUCUUCUCGUGUGCACAUCGCAUUUGUUAUGGUGGAAUCUAAGUCCCUCUUUAUGAUCUAGACGAGGAGCCCGGAAGCUGCGCCACGUGGGCCAGGAUCAGCAGUUGCCUGUUUCUAUACAGUUUGAUUGGAAGGGAGAAAAAAAAAGUUUCAGAAAAUUUCGAAAGGCAAAAAUUGAAUUUGUCACGUACCAGCAAUUAUUCGCAUGGAAUUUACAUCGUGUUAGGUAUUAGAAGUAAUCUAGCAGUGAUUUACAGUAUACAGGAGGAUGUGCCUAGGUUGUAUGCGGAUAUAACCACUUAGGCUCCCAUGGAGCAUGGACUUAUGCAGGCCACAGAUUUUACAUAGAUCUUGGAAAUGGCACUCUAAAAAUGCACUGUCACCGCUGUCUUGAAUUUGUGACCGUUUUUAAUUGCUAGGAAUCGAGAUGUUUAAUUAUCGGUUACUGUUAGCUUGACUUUCUCAUUAUUAGUUUAGGCACCAUGUGGUUGCAUGUUUACCUUGAACUGUGAGGUGGUGCUUACCUACGCUGGGGAUCUUUUUUGGCUAACGAGUUUCCAACAACUAGACUUGAAGAUAUGCAUGAGG